GUUAUUUUUCAAAACUUUUGAAUCCAAAUGGAGCUGAUUGGACUCCUUGACACUGUCAGCGAGCUUGAGCACACUGUCAGAGAGCUUGAGGAGGACCAGGAAGUCUGUUAUGACCAUGACGAGCCCAGUGAUGACGAUUUUGAGACAGAUCUGGAGAGUGAUUCAGAUGCUGCAGUGGAGGAUGAUGACGAAAUGGUCGAUGGCAUGGCUCCGACUCCCAAACGGAGGAAGCUGGCGAGGGACAAUGGACUCCAAAAAGCUAAGUCCACAGGAAGAUACCCCGUCUUUGGCGGUGUGGUCGGUCCUGUCGAUCAACUUGAUCCGUCUGUAACUCCAUGCCUAGAUUUUGUUAAGUUACUUUGGCCCGAUAGUUUGUGUGAGUACAUAGCCGAACAGACCAACCUGUACGCUAGGCAGUGUGGUGCUAAGGGUUGGUCAGCUACAAACAGUGCCGAAUUGUGGGUGUUUUUGGGGAUUGUACUAGAGAUGGGCAUUCAUAGGCUCCCUGAAAUUACGGACUACUGGUCCAAGGAUCCCCUUUUAGGUGUACAAUGUGUGAGCAAUGUAAUGUCGCUCAAAAGGUUCCAAAGUUUAUGGCGGUAUCUGCACUGUGAGGACAAUACGUCCAUCACUGAUGCACGUAAGGUAACUAGCAAGCUAAAAACUGUUUUAGAGACUCUUAAAGCCAACUACUUCAUGAGGUAUAAUCCCAGUCAGGAGCUUUCCGUUGAUGAGAUGAUGAUAAAGUACAAGGGUCGUAAAAGCGGGAAAAUUCAUAUGCCCAAGAAGCCUGUUAAACUGGGGUUCAAGGUAUGGUGCUGCUCAUGUUCAUGCUGUGGGUAUCUCUGUGUGUUUGAUGUAUACAGUGGUAAGCUCACCGAUUCCUCUGGGAAAAAGAUAGCUGUGAAAGGGCUUGUGAAAAAUGUAGUCCAUCGUUUACUCACUCCUUUUUAUGGUCAUCAGCAUGUUGUGUACAUGGACAACUUUUACACGUCCGGUCCAUUGAUAGAAGAGUUGGCUAAGCAAAAUGUGUUUACUGUCGGCACAAUUUUGAAGAAUGCUGCUGGUUUCCCAGCAAGUCUUAAGGAUGUGGUACUCGACAAAGGUGACUAUACGUCCAUGACUGUUGGUGAUAUUUCUUACUCUAUGUUUAACGACCGUAGAGUUGUGUCCUUUGCAACAAAUGUGUUCCCUGACCAUAUGCCCCACACUGUAAUGCGAAUGCACAAAGACGGUACCCUACGCUCUCAGAGUGUCCCCCCCUGUCUCCCUGCAUAUAACAUGUACAUGGGAGGAGUUGACAAUACAGGGCGUAUGAGGAAAACCUAUGGGUACGAUAGAAAGUGUCGGCGGUAUUGGUUCAGGAUUUUCUUUCAAUUCCUUGACGUUAGUGUGAAUAAUGCAUACAUUCUAUACAGGCACAACUGUGUCAGGGUGGGUUCAAAGGCCAUGCCUUUGAAAGGGUUUCGAUUGGAACUAAUUCAUAGUCUAUUGGGUGUGCCACGUACUCGUAGCAGUGCCUCAGGUCUGGCCAGUCUAAAUAUCGUUUUCCCCCCAUCACAGGGCGCACGUGUGAGUGCAAAUAGUGUCGGAGUGUCUCGUGGGCGCUGUCAAGUGUGUGUUCGGGAGAAGAUCCCUAGCAGAGAGCAGCAACACACUGCAAUGGCAUGUCCCCACUGUCGCAUAAGAAUAUGCAAAGGACACUCUGUUAUCGGACACACAUGUGCUAGCUAAUGUGCUGUGUGACUGAUUUUUGUUAGAUGGUACUCUCCUGGUCUAAAUUGGCCUUGGAGAGGGGAGGAAAGGGGUAUUAUUUCAAUGAUUAAUAAAAUUGUGAUAAAGAAUUCAGUUGUAUAUGAGAGGCCCUAACCCACUCUGUUGUAAAUUCUGUUGUAAUUAUUUUUCAAAACUUUUGAAUCCAAAUGGAGCUGAUUGGACUCCUUGACACUGUCAGCGAGCUUGAGCACACUGUCAGAGAGCUUGAGGAGGACCAGGAAGUCUGUUAUGACCAUGACGAGCCCAGUGAUGACGAUUUUGAGACAGAUCUGGAGAGUGAUUCAGGUUUGUGUCAUUGCACCAUUAAAUAGUGGUUGGGGAGGCAGCAUUGUGAUGCCCUAACGAUAUGUGGCCUCUUUUUGGCGGAGGCGUCAUGUGCAUGCCUUUUGUGGCUCCUCCUACAUUGUGUGAGCCUCUUUUUGGCGUCGCCUUGACUGCAGUACUGUACUGUACCCUAACCCCCAGUUGUUAAUGAUAUUCAUAGCACCACACGCGUGCAUUACGCCCACAUAUUGAUAUUCAUGGUUGUUGUGGUUUGUUGGGCUCCUCCCACGAGCCUUUGAUGUGGACGAGCCUUUUCCUCUGCUGUACUGUACCUAUGUGCCCUAACCCCCCCCAGUAGUUAAUUAUAUUCAUAGCACCACUAGCGUGCGGUACGCCCACAUAAUGACAUUCAUGGUUGUUGUGGUUUGUUGGGAUCCUCCCACGAGCCUUUGAUGUGGACGAGCCUUUUCCUCUGCUGUACUGUACCUAUGUGCCCUAACCCCCCCAGUAGUUAAUGAUAUUCAUAGCACCACUAGCGUGUGGUACGCCCACAUAAUGACAUUCAUGGUUGUUGUGGUUUGUUGGGCUCCUCCCACGAGCCUUUGAUGGCAUGUCCCCACUGUCGCAUAAGAAUAUGCAAAGGACACUCUGUUAUCGGACACACAUGUGCUAGCUAAUGUGCUGUGUGACUGAUUUUUGUUAGAUGGUACUCUCCUGGUCUAAAUUGGCCUUGGAGAGGGGAGGAAAGGGGUAUUAUUUCAAUGAUUAAUAAAAUUGUGAUAAAGAAUUCAGUUGUAUAUGAGAGGCCCUAACCCACUCUGUUGUAAAUUCUGUUGUAAUUAUCUCUUUCCUUGGCAAUCUGUUGUAGAAAUUACAACAAUGGGUAAGGAAUCGUUAUGAUGAAUUAGAUGAAGUUGUAUGUGAGCUCCUCCCUGACAAACAAACUGUAGUCUAGGUAACCGCCUUAUCAGUCAAGUAGGCUAAAAAUCUGUGUCCUUUGAUGUAAGCUUUGAUGUCUCUUUGUGCAUAUGUAGUUAUAAAAAAAAAAAAAAAAAAAAAAAGAAACCUUUGACUAGCUAGGAAGAGUAGCAGCAGUAGGCAGCAGUAGUAGUAGCAGUGCAAGCAGGACUAGACUAGAUUAAAAAGUUGGUGGAAAGAAUAACUGACCGUUUGGACGUCACCUGGCUGCCAGACUUUCAUCUGGACUCUUCCCCCUGAGUAGCUGGCCUUUCUCUAAGCCACAAAACUGAGCAAGAAGCUGAAGAAGCAGCUAGACAGAGACAUGUACCUAGCCUUGAGAAUUGGGAGGCGUGGCUCAACUAGUUAGCCCAGCCCAGAGGAAUUGUUACCGUGGGUACUGAACAACCGUAGAAGUAGGGCUACCCCUGGCUUUACUGAAUUAACUAGCUGUGUCUGCUGUCUAGUUGGACCAGAUUUAGCUAGAUAAUGGGGUAGAGAAUAGUUGAGCGGUGCUGUGUGUAGCUUGAACUGUACUGGCUGGCAAGAAUCUAGUAAGCACCCUAUGCACUGAUAACUCGUCAGAAUGGAGGGUAUGUUCUAGGGAUCUGGACAGCUGUACAUCCAAAGGAGCCAGGGAGUGCCAAUCAUCUUCUCCCAGUCUCUGACACGCUAAACAAAAGGAGCUAGAACUGGGAGUCCCAGCUAGAAUUGCUAGCCGGAUCUAGACUAAUAGAAUGACUUGGAGGCGUGGUGAGGCCGGAUCCACACUAAUUGAUGGACCUAAAGACGCUCCUGUUCCAGAUUUCACGAAUGGCAAGGAAAGGGUUAUUUUUCAAAACUUUUGAAUCCAAAUGGAGCUGAUUGGACUCCUUGACACUGUCAGCGAGCUUGAGCACACUGUCAGAGAGCUUGAGGAGGACCAGGAAGUCUGUUAUGACCAUGACGAGCCCAGUGAUGACGAUUUUGAGACAGAUCUGGAGAGUGAUUCAGAUGCUGCAGUGGAGGAUGAUGACGAAAUGGUCGAUGGCAUGGCUCCGACUCCCAAACGGAGGAAGCUGGCGAGGGACAAUGGACUCCAAAAAGCUAAGUCCACAGGAAGAUACCCCGUCUUUGGCGGUGUGGUCGGUCCUGUCGAUCAACUUGAUCCGUCUGUAACUCCAUGCCUAGAUUUUGUUAAGUUACUUUGGCCCGAUAGUUUGUGUGAGUACAUAGCCGAACAGACCAACCUGUACGCUAGGCAGUGUGGUGCUAAGGGUUGGUCAGCUACAAACAGUGCCGAAUUGUGGGUGUUUUUGGGGAUUGUACUAGAGAUGGGCAUUCAUAGGCUCCCUGAAAUUACGGACUACUGGUCCAAGGAUCCCCUUUUAGGUGUACAAUGUGUGAGCAAUGUAAUGUCGCUCAAAAGGUUCCAAAGUUUAUGGCGGUAUCUGCACUGUGAGGACAAUACGUCCAUCACUGAUGCACGUAAGGUAACUAGCAAGCUAAAAACUGUUUUAGAGACUCUUAAAGCCAACUACUUCAUGAGGUAUAAUCCCAGUCAGGAUGAGAUGAUGAUAAAGUACAAGGGUCGUAAAAGCGGGAAAAUUCAUAUGCCCAAGAAGCCUGUUAAACUGGGGUUCAAGGUAUGGUGCUGCUCAUGUUCAUGCUGUGGGUAUCUCUGUGUGUUUGAUGUAUACAGUGGUAAGCUCACCGAUUCCUCUGGGAAAAAGAUAGCUGUGAAAGGGCUUGUGAAAAAUGUAGUCCAUCGUUUACUCACUCCUUUUUAUGGUCAUCAGCAUGUUGUGUACAUGGACAACUUUUACACGUCCGGUCCAUUGAUAGAAGAGUUGGCUAAGCAAAAUGUGUUUACUGUCGGCACAAUUUUGAAGAAUGCUGCUGGUUUCCCAGCAAGUCUUAAGGAUGUGGUACUCGACAAAGGUGACUAUACGUCCAUGACUGUUGGUGAUAUUUCUUACUCUAUGUUUAACGACCGUAGAGUUGUGUCCUUUGCAACAAAUGUGUUCCCUGACCAUAUGCCCCACACUGUAAUGCGAAUGCACAAAGACGGUACCCUACGCUCUCAGAGUGUCCCCCCCUGUCUCCCUGCAUAUAACAUGUACAUGGGAGGAGUUGACAAUACAGGGCGUAUGAGGAAAACCUAUGGGUACGAUAGAAAGUGUCGGCGGUAUUGGUUCAGGAUUUUCUUUCAAUUCCUUGACGUUAGUGUGAAUAAUGCAUACAUUCUAUACAGGCACAACUGUGUCAGGGUGGGUUCAAAGGCCAUGCCUUUGAAAGGGUUUCGAUUGGAACUAAUUCAUAGUCUAUUGGGUGUGCCACGUACUCGUAGCAGUGCCUCAGGUCUGGCCAGUCUAAAUAUCGUUUUCCCCCCAUCACAGGGCGCACGUGUGAGUGCAAAUAGUGUCGGAGUGUCUCGUGGGCGCUGUCAAGUGUGUGUUCGGGAGAAGAUCCCUAGCAGAGAGCAGCAACACACUGCAAUGGCAUGUCCCCACUGUCGCAUAAGAAUAUGCAAAGGACACUCUGUUAUCGGACACACAUGUGCUAGCUAAUGUGCUGUGUGACUGAUUUUUGUUAGAUGGUACUCUCCUGGUCUAAAUUGGCCUUGGAGAGGGGAGGAAAGGGGUAUUAUUUCAAUGAUUAAUAAAAUUGUGAUAAAGAAUUCAGUUGUAUAUGAGAGGCCCUAACCCACUCUGUUGUAAAUUCUGUUGUAAUUAUUUUUCAAAACUUUUGAAUCCAAAUGGAGCUGAUUGGACUCCUUGACACUGUCAGCGAGCUUGAGCACACUGUCAGAGAGCUUGAGGAGGACCAGGAAGUCUGUUAUGACCAUGACGAGCCCAGUGAUGACGAUUUUGAGACAGAUCUGGAGAGUGAUUCAGGUUUGUGUCAUUGCACCAUUAAAUAGUGGUUGGGGAGGCAGCAUUGUGAUGCCCUAACGAUAUGUGGCCUCUUUUUGGCGGAGGCGUCAUGUGCAUGCCUUUUGUGGCUCCUCCUACAUUGUGUGAGCCUCUUUUUGGCGUCGCCUUGACUGCAGUACUGUACUGUACCCUAACCCCCAGUUGUUAAUGAUAUUCAUAGCACCACACGCGUGCAUUACGCCCACAUAUUGAUAUUCAUGGUUGUUGUGGUUUGUUGGGCUCCUCCCACGAGCCUUUGAUGUGGACGAGCCUUUUCCUCUGCUGUACUGUACCUAUGUGCCCUAACCCCCCCCAGUAGUUAAUUAUAUUCAUAGCACCACUAGCGUGCGGUACGCCCACAUAAUGACAUUCAUGGUUGUUGUGGUUUGUUGGGAUCCUCCCACGAGCCUUUGAUGUGGACGAGCCUUUUCCUCUGCUGUACUGUACCUAUGUGCCCUAACCCCCCCAGUAGUUAAUGAUAUUCAUAGCACCACUAGCGUGUGGUACGCCCACAUAAUGACAUUCAUGGUUGUUGUGGUUUGUUGGGCUCCUCCCACGAGCCUUUGAUGGCAUGUCCCCACUGUCGCAUAAGAAUAUGCAAAGGACACUCUGUUAUCGGACACACAUGUGCUAGCUAAUGUGCUGUGUGACUGAUUUUUGUUAGAUGGUACUCUCCUGGUCUAAAUUGGCCUUGGAGAGGGGAGGAAAGGGGUAUUAUUUCAAUGAUUAAUAAAAUUGUGAUAAAGAAUUCAGUUGUAUAUGAGAGGCCCUAACCCACUCUGUUGUAAAUUCUGUUGUAAUUAUCUCUUUCCUUGGCAAUCUGUUGUAGAAAUUACAACAAUGGGUAAGGAAUCGUUAUGAUGAAUUAGAUGAAGUUGUAUGUGAGCUCCUCCCUGACAAACAAACUGUAGUCUAGGUAACCGCCUUAUCAGUCAAGUAGGCUAAAAAUCUGUGUCCUUUGAUGUAAGCUUUGAUGUCUCUUUGUGCAUAUGUAGUUAUAAAAAAAAAAAAAAAAAAAAAAAGAAACCUUUGACUAGCUAGGAAGAGUAGCAGCAGUAGGCAGCAGUAGUAGUAGCAGUGCAAGCAGGACUAGACUAGAUUAAAAAGUUGGUGGAAAGAAUAACUGACCGUUUGGACGUCACCUGGCUGCCAGACUUUCAUCUGGACUCUUCCCCCUGAGUAGCUGGCCUUUCUCUAAGCCACAAAACUGAGCAAGAAGCUGAAGAAGCAGCUAGACAGAGACAUGUACCUAGCCUUGAGAAUUGGGAGGCGUGGCUCAACUAGUUAGCCCAGCCCAGAGGAAUUGUUACCGUGGGUACUGAACAACCGUAGAAGUAGGGCUACCCCUGGCUUUACUGAAUUAACUAGCUGUGUCUGCUGUCUAGUUGGACCAGAUUUAGCUAGAUAAUGGGGUAGAGAAUAGUUGAGCGGUGCUGUGUGUAGCUUGAACUGUACUGGCUGGCAAGAAUCUAGUAAGCACCCUAUGCACUGAUAACUCGUCAGAAUGGAGGGUAUGUUCUAGGGAUCUGGACAGCUGUACAUCCAAAGGAGCCAGGGAGUGCCAAUCAUCUUCUCCCAGUCUCUGACACGCUAAACAAAAGGAGCUAGAACUGGGAGUCCCAGCUAGAAUUGCUAGCCGGAUCUAGACUAAUAGAAUGACUUGGAGGCGUGGUGAGGCCGGAUCCACACUAAUUGAUCGACCUAAAGACGCUCCUGUUCCAGAUUUCACGAAUGGCAAGGAAAGGGUUAUUUUUCAAAACUUUUGAAUCCAAAUGGAGCUGAUUGGACUCCUUGACACUGUCAGCGAGCUUGAGCACACUGUCAGAGAGCUUGAGGAGGACCAGGAAGUCUGUUAUGACCAUGACGAGCCCAGUGAUGACGAUUUUGAGACAGAUCUGGAGAGUGAUUCAGAUGCUGCAGUGGAGGAUGAUGACGAAAUGGUCGAUGGCAUGGCUCCGACUCCCAAACGGAGGAAGCUGGCGAGGGACAAUGGACUCCAAAAAGCUAAGUCCACAGGAAGAUACCCCGUCUUUGGCGGUGUGGUCGGUCCUGUCGAUCAACUUGAUCCGUCUGUAACUCCAUGCCUAGAUUUUGUUAAGUUACUUUGGCCCGAUAGUUUGUGUGAGUACAUAGCCGAACAGACCAACCUGUACGCUAGGCAGUGUGGUGCUAAGGGUUGGUCAGCUACAAACAGUGCCGAAUUGUGGGUGUUUUUGGGGAUUGUACUAGAGAUGGGCAUUCAUAGGCUCCCUGAAAUUACGGACUACUGGUCCAAGGAUCCCCUUUUAGGUGUACAAUGUGUGAGCAAUGUAAUGUCGCUCAAAAGGUUCCAAAGUUUAUGGCGGUAUCUGCACUGUGAGGACAAUACGUCCAUCACUGAUGCACGUAAGGUAACUAGCAAGCUAAAAACUGUUUUAGAGACUCUUAAAGCCAACUACUUCAUGAGGUAUAAUCCCAGUCAGGAUGAGAUGAUGAUAAAGUACAAGGGUCGUAAAAGCGGGAAAAUUCAUAUGCCCAAGAAGCCUGUUAAACUGGGGUUCAAGGUAUGGUGCUGCUCAUGUUCAUGCUGUGGGUAUCUCUGUGUGUUUGAUGUAUACAGUGGUAAGCUCACCGAUUCCUCUGGGAAAAAGAUAGCUGUGAAAGGGCUUGUGAAAAAUGUAGUCCAUCGUUUACUCACUCCUUUUUAUGGUCAUCAGCAUGUUGUGUACAUGGACAACUUUUACACGUCCGGUCCAUUGAUAGAAGAGUUGGCUAAGCAAAAUGUGUUUACUGUCGGCACAAUUUUGAAGAAUGCUGCUGGUUUCCCAGCAAGUCUUAAGGAUGUGGUACUCGACAAAGGUGACUAUACGUCCAUGACUGUUGGUGAUAUUUCUUACUCUAUGUUUAACGACCGUAGAGUUGUGUCCUUUGCAACAAAUGUGUUCCCUGACCAUAUGCCCCACACUGUAAUGCGAAUGCACAAAGACGGUACCCUACGCUCUCAGAGUGUCCCCCCCUGUCUCCCUGCAUAUAACAUGUACAUGGGAGGAGUUGACAAUACAGGGCGUAUGAGGAAAACCUAUGGGUACGAUAGAAAGUGUCGGCGGUAUUGGUUCAGGAUUUUCUUUCAAUUCCUUGACGUUAGUGUGAAUAAUGCAUACAUUCUAUACAGGCACAACUGUGUCAGGGUGGGUUCAAAGGCCAUGCCUUUGAAAGGGUUUCGAUUGGAACUAAUUCAUAGUCUAUUGGGUGUGCCACGUACUCGUAGCAGUGCCUCAGGUCUGGCCAGUCUAAAUAUCGUUUUCCCCCCAUCACAGGGCGCACGUGUGAGUGCAAAUAGUGUCGGAGUGUCUCGUGGGCGCUGUCAAGUGUGUGUUCGGGAGAAGAUCCCUAGCAGAGAGCAGCAACACACUGCAAUGGCAUGUCCCCACUGUCGCAUAAGAAUAUGCAAAGGACACUCUGUUAUCGGACACACAUGUGCUAGCUAAUGUGCUGUGUGACUGAUUUUUGUUAGAUGGUACUCUCCUGGUCUAAAUUGGCCUUGGAGAGGGGAGGAAAGGGGUAUUAUUUCAAUGAUUAAUAAAAUUGUGAUAAAGAAUUCAGUUGUAUAUGAGAGGCCCUAACCCACUCUGUUGUAAAUUCUGUUGUAAUUAUUUUUCAAAACUUUUGAAUCCAAAUGGAGCUGAUUGGACUCCUUGACACUGUCAGCGAGCUUGAGCACACUGUCAGAGAGCUUGAGGAGGACCAGGAAGUCUGUUAUGACCAUGACGAGCCCAGUGAUGACGAUUUUGAGACAGAUCUGGAGAGUGAUUCAGAUGCUGCAGUGGAGGAUGAUGACGAAAUGGUCGAUGGCAUGGCUCCGACUCCCAAACGGAGGAAGCUGGCGAGGGACAAUGGACUCCAAAAAGCUAAGUCCACAGGAAGAUACCCCGUCUUUGGCGGUGUGGUCGGUCCUGUCGAUCAACUUGAUCCGUCUGUAACUCCAUGCCUAGAUUUUGUUAAGUUACUUUGGCCCGAUAGUUUGUGUGAGUACAUAGCCGAACAGACCAACCUGUACGCUAGGCAGUGUGGUGCUAAGGGUUGGUCAGCUACAAACAGUGCCGAAUUGUGGGUGUUUUUGGGGAUUGUACUAGAGAUGGGCAUUCAUAGGCUCCCUGAAAUUACGGACUACUGGUCCAAGGAUCCCCUUUUAGGUGUACAAUGUGUGAGCAAUGUAAUGUCGCUCAAAAGGUUCCAAAGUUUAUGGCGGUAUCUGCACUGUGAGGACAAUACGUCCAUCACUGAUGCACGUAAGGUAACUAGCAAGCUAAAAACUGUUUUAGAGACUCUUAAAGCCAACUACUUCAUGAGGUAUAAUCCCAGUCAGGAUGAGAUGAUGAUAAAGUACAAGGGUCGUAAAAGCGGGAAAAUUCAUAUGCCCAAGAAGCCUGUUAAACUGGGGUUCAAGGUAUGGUGCUGCUCAUGUUCAUGCUGUGGGUAUCUCUGUGUGUUUGAUGUAUACAGUGGUAAGCUCACCGAUUCCUCUGGGAAAAAGAUAGCUGUGAAAGGGCUUGUGAAAAAUGUAGUCCAUCGUUUACUCACUCCUUUUUAUGGUCAUCAGCAUGUUGUGUACAUGGACAACUUUUACACGUCCGGUCCAUUGAUAGAAGAGUUGGCUAAGCAAAAUGUGUUUACUGUCGGCACAAUUUUGAAGAAUGCUGCUGGUUUCCCAGCAAGUCUUAAGGAUGUGGUACUCGACAAAGGUGACUAUACGUCCAUGACUGUUGGUGAUAUUUCUUACUCUAUGUUUAACGACCGUAGAGUUGUGUCCUUUGCAACAAAUGUGUUCCCUGACCAUAUGCCCCACACUGUAAUGCGAAUGCACAAAGACGGUACCCUACGCUCUCAGAGUGUCCCCCCCUGUCUCCCUGCAUAUAACAUGUACAUGGGAGGAGUUGACAAUACAGGGCGUAUGAGGAAAACCUAUGGGUACGAUAGAAAGUGUCGGCGGUAUUGGUUCAGGAUUUUCUUUCAAUUCCUUGACGUUAGUGUGAAUAAUGCAUACAUUCUAUACAGGCACAACUGUGUCAGGGUGGGUUCAAAGGCCAUGCCUUUGAAAGGGUUUCGAUUGGAACUAAUUCAUAGUCUAUUGGGUGUGCCACGUACUCGUAGCAGUGCCUCAGGUCUGGCCAGUCUAAAUAUCGUUUUCCCCCCAUCACAGGGCGCACGUGUGAGUGCAAAUAGUGUCGGAGUGUCUCGUGGGCGCUGUCAAGUGUGUGUUCGGGAGAAGAUCCCUAGCAGAGAGCAGCAACACACUGCAAUGGCAUGUCCCCACUGUCGCAUAAGAAUAUGCAAAGGACACUCUGUUAUCGGACACACAUGUGCUAGCUAAUGUGCUGUGUGACUGAUUUUUGUUAGAUGGUACUCUCCUGGUCUAAAUUGGCCUUGGAGAGGGGAGGAAAGGGGUAUUAUUUCAAUGAUUAAUAAAAUUGUGAUAAAGAAUUCAGUUGUAUAUGAGAGGCCCUAACCCACUCUGUUGUAAAUUCUGUUGUAAUUAUUUUUCAAAACUUUUGAAUCCAAAUGGAGCUGAUUGGACUCCUUGACACUGUCAGCGAGCUUGAGCACACUGUCAGAGAGCUUGAGGAGGACCAGGAAGUCUGUUAUGACCAUGACGAGCCCAGUGAUGACGAUUUUGAGACAGAUCUGGAGAGUGAUUCAGAUGCUGCAGUGGAGGAUGAUGACGAAAUGGUCGAUGGCAUGGCUCCGACUCCCAAACGGAGGAAGCUGGCGAGGGACAAUGGACUCCAAAAAGCUAAGUCCACAGGAAGAUACCCCGUCUUUGGCGGUGUGGUCGGUCCUGUCGAUCAACUUGAUCCGUCUGUAACUCCAUGCCUAGAUUUUGUUAAGUUACUUUGGCCCGAUAGUUUGUGUGAGUACAUAGCCGAACAGACCAACCUGUACGCUAGGCAGUGUGGUGCUAAGGGUUGGUCAGCUACAAACAGUGCCGAAUUGUGGGUGUUUUUGGGGAUUGUACUAGAGAUGGGCAUUCAUAGGCUCCCUGAAAUUACGGACUACUGGUCCAAGGAUCCCCUUUUAGGUGUACAAUGUGUGAGCAAUGUAAUGUCGCUCAAAAGGUUCCAAAGUUUAUGGCGGUAUCUGCACUGUGAGGACAAUACGUCCAUCACUGAUGCACGUAAGGUAACUAGCAAGCUAAAAACUGUUUUAGAGACUCUUAAAGCCAACUACUUCAUGAGGUAUAAUCCCAGUCAGGAUGAGAUGAUGAUAAAGUACAAGGGUCGUAAAAGCGGGAAAAUUCAUAUGCCCAAGAAGCCUGUUAAACUGGGGUUCAAGGUAUGGUGCUGCUCAUGUUCAUGCUGUGGGUAUCUCUGUGUGUUUGAUGUAUACAGUGGUAAGCUCACCGAUUCCUCUGGGAAAAAGAUAGCUGUGAAAGGGCUUGUGAAAAAUGUAGUCCAUCGUUUACUCACUCCUUUUUAUGGUCAUCAGCAUGUUGUGUACAUGGACAACUUUUACACGUCCGGUCCAUUGAUAGAAGAGUUGGCUAAGCAAAAUGUGUUUACUGUCGGCACAAUUUUGAAGAAUGCUGCUGGUUUCCCAGCAAGUCUUAAGGAUGUGGUACUCGACAAAGGUGACUAUACGUCCAUGACUGUUGGUGAUAUUUCUUACUCUAUGUUUAACGACCGUAGAGUUGUGUCCUUUGCAACAAAUGUGUUCCCUGACCAUAUGCCCCACACUGUAAUGCGAAUGCACAAAGACGGUACCCUACGCUCUCAGAGUGUCCCCCCCUGUCUCCCUGCAUAUAACAUGUACAUGGGAGGAGUUGACAAUACAGGGCGUAUGAGGAAAACCUAUGGGUACGAUAGAAAGUGUCGGCGGUAUUGGUUCAGGAUUUUCUUUCAAUUCCUUGACGUUAGUGUGAAUAAUGCAUACAUUCUAUACAGGCACAACUGUGUCAGGGUGGGUUCAAAGGCCAUGCCUUUGAAAGGGUUUCGAUUGGAACUAAUUCAUAGUCUAUUGGGUGUGCCACGUACUCGUAGCAGUGCCUCAGGUCUGGCCAGUCUAAAUAUCGUUUUCCCCCCAUCACAGGGCGCACGUGUGAGUGCAAAUAGUGUCGGAGUGUCUCGUGGGCGCUGUCAAGUGUGUGUUCGGGAGAAGAUCCCUAGCAGAGAGCAGCAACACACUGCAAUGGCAUGUCCCCACUGUCGCAUAAGAAUAUGCAAAGGACACUCUGUUAUCGGACACACAUGUGCUAGCUAAUGUGCUGUGUGACUGAUUUUUGUUAGAUGGUACUCUCCUGGUCUAAAUUGGCCUUGGAGAGGGGAGGAAAGGGGUAUUAUUUCAAUGAUUAAUAAAAUUGUGAUAAAGAAUUCAGUUGUAUAUGAGAGGCCCUAACCCACUCUGUUGUAAAUUCUGUUGUAAUUAUUUUUCAAAACUUUUGAAUCCAAAUGGAGCUGAUUGGACUCCUUGACACUGUCAGCGAGCUUGAGCACACUGUCAGAGAGCUUGAGGAGGACCAGGAAGUCUGUUAUGACCAUGACGAGCCCAGUGAUGACGAUUUUGAGACAGAUCUGGAGAGUGAUUCAGGUUUGUGUCAUUGCACCAUUAAAUAGUGGUUGGGGAGGCAGCAUUGUGAUGCCCUAACGAUAUGUGGCCUCUUUUUGGCGGAGGCGUCAUGUGCAUGCCUUUUGUGGCUCCUCCUACAUUGUGUGAGCCUCUUUUUGGCGUCGCCUUGACUGCAGUACUGUACUGUACCCUAACCCCCAGUUGUUAAUGAUAUUCAUAGCACCACACGCGUGCAUUACGCCCACAUAUUGAUAUUCAUGGUUGUUGUGGUUUGUUGGGCUCCUCCCACGAGCCUUUGAUGUGGACGAGCCUUUUCCUCUGCUGUACUGUACCUAUGUGCCCUAACCCCCCCCAGUAGUUAAUUAUAUUCAUAGCACCACUAGCGUGCGGUACGCCCACAUAAUGACAUUCAUGGUUGUUGUGGUUUGUUGGGAUCCUCCCACGAGCCUUUGAUGUGGACGAGCCUUUUCCUCUGCUGUACUGUACCUAUGUGCCCUAACCCCCCCAGUAGUUAAUGAUAUUCAUAGCACCACUAGCGUGUGGUACGCCCACAUAAUGACAUUCAUGGUUGUUGUGGUUUGUUGGGCUCCUCCCACGAGCCUUUGAUGGCAUGUCCCCACUGUCGCAUAAGAAUAUGCAAAGGACACUCUGUUAUCGGACACACAUGUGCUAGCUAAUGUGCUGUGUGACUGAUUUUUGUUAGAUGGUACUCUCCUGGUCUAAAUUGGCCUUGGAGAGGGGAGGAAAGGGGUAUUAUUUCAAUGAUUAAUAAAAUUGUGAUAAAGAAUUCAGUUGUAUAUGAGAGGCCCUAACCCACUCUGUUGUAAAUUCUGUUGUAAUUAUCUCUUUCCUUGGCAAUCUGUUGUAGAAAUUACAACAAUGGGUAAGGAAUCGUUAUGAUGAAUUAGAUGAAGUUGUAUGUGAGCUCCUCCCUGACAAACAAACUGUAGUCUAGGUAACCGCCUUAUCAGUCAAGUAGGCUAAAAAUCUGUGUCCUUUGAUGUAAGCUUUGAUGUCUCUUUGUGCAUAUGUAGUUAUAAAAAAAAAAAAAAAAAAAAAAAGAAAC